GUCUUGCCAUAUUUCUUCACCCCUUUUCGUUUCUAUUCAUCUGGAUCUAAACCAAACGCAAACCUCUCUCUAACCCUCGCCAGAUCGAUCGGUGCACGGCGAGCCCGUUUCAGUGCAGUCCAAAUCUCCAGCCACAAUCACAGCCAUCAUCAUGCCUAUAUGGAGCACAGAGUUGAUGUCGUUUGAGAUGUGCACCUUUUGGUCUACGAUUUCGGACGAGAGAGAAGUAGAUGGGAGUUAUAGACGGUUUAAUUCAGCGCAGCGAACUGCUAAGACAGAUGAUUCUGCCAGAGUUGGACGUCACGACGACGAAGGUCGGGAAGUUAGAGAUUAUGGUUUGGGAAUUUAAAGGUGGCUCCCAGUUGCUGAGUUGGCUUUACCUGAGGAAAAGGGCGAUCCAAUUUAUGCGGUUGCUUGGGCACCAAAUAUUGGCAGGCCAUAUGAGGUAAUAACAACUGGGACUCACAAGCAAAUUACAAUAUGGCACCUUGGAUUAAACCCCAAUCUUGAUGGAAAGCUCUCAACGAAAAAGGUUACAUUGCUCUCUGGUCUUGAAGAGCUCUCUUUUCUUAAUUUCUUUUUUAUUUAUUUACUUGCUUAUAAAAGGGUCGCCUAUAAUGUACGGGAGGAUGUGCUUCUUGAAUCUUCCCUUACAAAUCUUAUAUUUCCGUGAUCAGGUUUGGGAGAUGGAGUGGAACAUUAGUGGAAUGACCCUAGCAACCACUGAAGGUGAUGGCGUGAUGAGUUUGUGGCAGUCUAACUUAAAAGGCGUUCAUCUACCAGCAGUUUUUGAACACACCACUUAGCCCACUUUUCUUCUUUCUUUUGCCGUAGCUUAUUGUUGUAUUCUAGCUUAUUGUUUUUGAACCCACCAGCCCACGUUUCUUCUUCCUCCCUGGCACAACCACCCUUUUAACUUGAAGGCUUGCAUGGAUGAUUACAGAGGAAUCAACUGCUGUGUUUUCACUGUCAACUCAAUCUCCAAUCCAAUCAACAUCGAAGAACCACUGCAGCGAGAAGCACCCCAACCACAACCACCUCAACCCCAACCUCCAAAAACACCAAACAAACGCACCUAGCAAGAAAGCUCCAGAGUUAGUUCAUCAACAUGCUACAGUGACAUGGAAGAAGACGAAUCUGCAUAGCCUCUGAAACACAAACAGAAGAAAGAAUAGUGCCCCCAUCUAAUUCCAGCAAGCGAUCUUUGAAAAAUAGACAUUAAAGCAAAUCUUUUGGUGUGAAUGUUUUGCAACUUUCUAUUUUAAAUGCAUUCGCAUCCUCUAGCAUAUAGACACAUAUUUUGCUUCAGCUAUUUACAACAGACAAUAGAGCAGAUCUUUUGGUGUGGGUGAUUUGCAAUAUUGCCUGUUUAGUACGCAACUCUUUUUGUCCAGGCAAAUUGCUACUUAACUUUAGGUAUAUUCAGUGCUUCUAAAUCUGUAUAUAAAUCACUUUGGUCCAGAGUUCUACUCA